CAGCCGAAGUGCAAGCUCUGUCAAAGGAGAUAGAAGAUCUCAAGGUCUCGGUCGAUCUCUUGGAAAAAGAAAGAGACUUUUACUUCUCUAAGCUCCGGGACACAGAGAUACUCUGUCAGACUCCUGAACUCGAGGAUCUUCCGAUAGUGGUAGCAGUCAAGAAGAUAUUAUAUGCAACCGAUGCAAAUGAAUCUGCACUAGAAGAAGCUCAAGAGUGCCUAAACCAGUCUCUGGGACUUGAGGCUGAUGAGGAAGAAGGAAAGGAAGAGGAAGAAGAAGAAGAAGCAGCAGCAACAGAGACCCAAACUUAAAAGUUGUUGAUAAAUAAAAGUAGAGAACAACGAUGGUCCAUUGCCUUGUCUUAGAAGAUAAAUCACUUGGAGUCGGAGAGAGUGUUUUUCACAAUAUUACCGUAACCGGUUUUUUUGUUUAAAAGUGAGCCGAACCGAAUUUGCUCCGUCCUAAAUUUGAAAGAUUUAUCUGAUGGGUUUUAUUUGUAUCACAAUGUUUUUACUAAAUGUGUUCCGAUAAGUAAAAUUAAAAUUACAU